AUCGGGGUUGCGGACAGUGUCUGGUGGGUAGUUUGACUGGGGCGGUCUCCUCCUAAAGAGUAACGGAGGAGCACGAAGGUUGGCUAAUCCUGGUCGGACAUCAGGAGGUUAGUGCAAUGGCAUAAGCCAGCUUGACUGCGAGCGUGACGGCGCGAGCAGGUGCGAAAGCAGGUCAUAGUGAUCCGGUGGUUCUGAAUGGAAGGGCCAUCGCUCAACGGAUAAAAGGUACUCCGGGGAUAACAGGCUGAUACCGCCCAAGAGUUCAUAUCGACGGCGGUGUUUGGCACCUCGAUGUCGGCUCAUCACAUCCUGGGGCUGAAGUAGGUCCCAAGGGUAUGGCUGUUCGCCAUUUAAAGUGGUACGCGAGCUGGGUUUAGAACGUCGUGAGACAGUUCGGUCCCUAUCUGCCGUGGGCGCAGGAGAACUGAGGGGGGCUGCUCCUAGUACGAGAGGACCGGAGUGGACGCAUCACUGGUGUUCGGGUUGUCAUGCCAAUGGCACUGCCCGGUAGCUAAAUGCGGAAGAGAUAAGUGCUGAAAGCAUCUAAGCACGAAACUUGCCCCGAGAUGAGUUCUCCCUGACCCUUUAAGGGUCCUGAAGGAACGUUGAAGACGACGACGUUGAUAGGCCGGGUGUGUAAGCGCAGCGAUGCGUUGAGCUAACCGGUACUAAUGAACCGUGAGGCUUAACCUUACAACGCCGAAG
rnacentral:rRNA from 1 species